AGCUUAAUACCUGCUAGUCAAAUCGGUUCUGUUGAAGUUUCGGUAGGGCCAACUUCUGUACUUUAUGGGCCAGGUG
rnacentral:tRNA from 1 species